GUGUCUGUUAAACCCGUGGCGAUUCAACAUCAUGAAAUUACCAAGCUCUGCAUUCGUAAUACGAAGGUCGUAGGUUCGACUCCUAUUAUCGGCACCA
rnacentral:tRNA from 1 species